rnacentral:rRNA from 1 species
GAUGAACGCUGGCGGCGUGCCUAAUACAUGCAAGUCGAGCGAACAGACGAGGAGCUUGCUCCUCUGACGUUAGCGGCGGACGGGUGAGUAACACGUGGAUAACCUACCUAUAAGACUGGGAUAACUUCGGGAAACCGGAGCUAAUACCGGAUAAUAUAUUGAACCGCAUGGUUCAAUAGUGAAAGACGAUUUUGCUGUCACUUAUAGAUGGAUCCGCGCCGCAUUAGCUAGUUGGUAAGGUAACGGCUUCCCAAGGCAACGAUGCGUAGCCGACCUGAGAGGGUGAUCGGCCACACUGGAACUGAGACACGGUCCAGACUCCUACGGGAGGCAGCAGUAGGGAAUCUUCCGCAAUGGGCGAAAGCCUGACGGAGCAACGCCGCGUGAGUGAUGAAGGUCUUCGGAUCGUAAAACUCUGUUAUUAGGGAAGAACAAAUGUGUAAGUAACUAUGCACGUCUUGACGGUACCUAAUCAGAAAGCCACGGCUAACUACGUG